AUACUUACCUUGUUUGGGUGGCUGCGCUCAAGAAGGCGGUCCACCACAGAUUGGUCCCUGCAUUGCACAGCGCGGCGGAACAGUUUGUUCAACGGCUUUCGGGUCAUUGACAGGCGUAUUCUUUGGCACUUUUCAACUGUGUUGAUUCACUGUUGGAUA
rnacentral:snRNA from 20 species